rnacentral:rRNA from 1 species
GGGCCCGCACAAGCGGUGGAGUAUGUGGUUUAAUUCGAUGCAACGCGAAGAACCUUACCAGGGUUUGACAUCCUGCGAAUCUCUUGGAAACAGGAGAGUGCCUUCGGGAACGCAGUGACAGGUGGUGCAUGGCUGUCGUCAGCUCGUGUCGUGAGAUGUUGGGUUAAGUCCCGCAACGAGCGCAACCCACAUCCCUAGUUGCCAGCAGUUCGGCUGGGCACUCUAUGGAAACUGCCCGUGAUAAGCGGGAGGAAGGUGUGGAUGACGUCAAGUCCUCAUGGCCCCUUACGGGUUGGGCUACACACGUGCUACAAUGGUAGUGACAAUGGGU